rnacentral:lncRNA from 1 species
CCCCUGGCAUGGUUCAAAGACAAAGACAAUAAAAAGGCAAGUGAAGAAAUAAAAGCCCUAAAACUACUAGGAUGUAGCUACAGCAAGUCACUCACACUCAACCUGUAACACAAGUUCUUACCAAUUCUUACCUUGCUUGACAGGAGGGGUCGUCUGCCAACAAGUGUACAGCAAUGGACGAAGUGUAUCGGUGCUGCAGCACAAGACCUGUCAAGCUGUAGAGUAUGUGGAGCUAUAGGUGGGCUGAAAUAAGGAACGAACUAGCACCACGUUAGUUAUAAAAGCGAGCUGAAUAAGCGUUCGACGAUGGUACUGUGCUGGUCCUAGGCUAGACCGUGCUAGAGACGCGAGCCUGGACACAAAGAAAAACCACAGCACACCCCCGAAAACAAGGUGGAACAAACCUAAAAUCAAUAUGAAAAAACAGCCCCUUUUUUUCUUUUGAAUCUUUUCUCUUUUCUUUUUUUUUCUUUUUUUUCUUUUUUUUGGGCAACCUCAAAAACUGAUUAUAUGAACAAAAGAAUACAAAAGAGCAAUUCGCUACACACACACUCUCUCUCUCUCUAGAGUAAGGCCGAACAAGUAUGGAGUUAUCUUUCUUUUUGAACUCAGAUUGGAACUCUACUCGAUCCGGACCAAGACCACAGUUCAAUUCAGACUUUGCAACAGAUUCGACAGAGAGAAGAUAUGGUAAUACUUGGCUGUGUAUAGAUGGUGACAAGAACUCGAAACUCUAAAGGACUAGACACUAAGACCAGCAACUCGACACAAACCGAAGCAACGCAAAUUCAACAAGCCCUAACUAAAACGGUACUAGGCAAGGCACAAAGGUCUAAUAGGAUUAUGGAAAAACUAAUCUACUAUAUUUUUUUUUGGCUUUUCUGGACUAUAGGAAAUUAAUUAAAAACAACAAAGGAUUAGAAGUCUCUCACCGAAGAACCUUGCUCUGAUUACCAACUGAUGCGAACCCGCUAGGGUUUUUGCCCGAUCUUUUGAUGAGAGACGGGGAUAACUCGAUUAGUGGAUGGAGAUGACGUUCACGGCCCGACUACAGCCCUCAAGACCGCGCCUUAGCAACCGAUACACCACGUCCAAUAGCCGUCACGAUCUUGUGGAGCGCGACAACCAGCCCCUAGGGCUCCCGUCCUGCAAGCAAUCGAAGAACUAGCA